rnacentral:lncRNA from 1 species
UGACUUCCCUGAAGUGACCAGUGACCGCAGUCGUGGCAGGAUUAUGCAGAACUGGAGUGGGCUGAAUGAUUGGAAAGACAGCCUGUCUGCUGGUUACCUAAAAUAACAUCGUUGGUGGAUAUCAGCAAAUCACACAUGGUCGAGAUGGGGAGACUGACAGUCAGCCCCUGGCAAGGUUUCCCUGUGACUUGGGGUUUGAGAGUCUCUGGAGGCUGUGGGAAGACAGAAGCAGAUACUGACUCAGUUCCUGCCCAGAACAAUAGUUGAGCGUAUGUGUGUGCAUAGGUGUCUGUGUGUAUUUGGUGUCCAGAUAUGCACUGUAUGUGUAUAUGUACAUUUAUGUGUGGUCUGUGUGUGUGUGCUGGGAGUAGUAUAAGUGUGGAGGGUGGUGUGUAUAUUUCUGCCCUGUGUGCCACGACUGUGGUGUGUAGGUGUGGUUGUGUGUGUAUUUGCCUCUGUGUGUGUGUGUGUUAUGAAGGUGCUGAGGCAAACAUUCUGCAUGAGACUGAGAAGAUGGUGACCAGGAGAGAAAAGAAUGGAGGCGACUCUCUCUUAGCCAAGCCCUUGAAGUGCAUUGGACAUGUUCAUCCCAGGGGGCCGAGUGAACAGGAGACUGACUGGGCCACCGAGCAACUGAUAGCACCUAGCGAUGGUCCCACUUGGUUGGGAAGGCUCCUCGCCUCUGCAGGCGUGUUUGCACCUCCGCCUCGGGGCCGCAGGAACCUGGACUCAGGGACUAUUUAGACAACACUGAGUUGGAGAAUGGAUUGUGGCUAGCUGGACACUGGGCCCUCCGCUGGCACUGUGGUCACUGCUGGCCCCAGUGCCACCAAUGCCACAGGACACUGGAUGCCAUAGCCACCAACUCCACCAGAAGGAGUUCCGAUUAUGUUGUUCAGUCUGGAUUUAGAAGUCUCAGGUGAGGAUCUGACUGGCUGCACUCAGCUCCUCUGUCUGUGCUCCUGCUGCUGGAGGUCAAGGGGAGCUUUUUGCCUUCUCGGGGUCCAGAGUGGGACCCUCACAUCAGGGCAGAUUCCCCACAAUCAGGUGGCAGGCUCAGAUGCUGCACAAUUAUGACAAGAAUAUGUUUCCUGUGAUUGAGACACUGAUACCUACUUCUCAGGGUUGCUGGGAGCACUGAAUGAGAUCACUCAUUUAUUCCAUCAUCAUGCAUUGAGUUAUCCACAGUAUUCCCAGCCCUGUGCUAGGUGAGGGGUAGUGUCUAUAAGUCCCGGCACAUACUAAGCAUUCAAUAAAUGAUAACUGUCUUAAAAGAAGCUGUGAAAU